UUGGAGGGCAAGUCUGGUGCCAGCAGCCGCGGUAAUUCCAGCUCCAAUAGCGUAUAUUAAAGUUGUUGCAGUUAAAAAGCUCGUAGUUGAAUUUCGGGAUCAAUGUUUCGGUCAUGCCGUUGGUAUGUACUGAUAUUAUUGAUUUCUCACCUUCUAAAGAACCGUAAUGCCAUUAAUUUGGUGUCACGGGGAAUUAGGACUGCUACCUUGAAAAAAUUAGAGUGUUUAAAGCAGGCUCACGCUUGAAUACAUUAGCAUGGAAUAAUGAAAUAGGACAUCCGAUUCUAUUUUGUUGGUUUCUAGGAUCGAUGUAAUGAUUAAUAGGGAUAGUUGGGGGCAUUAGUAUUCAAUUGUCAGAGGUGAAAUUCUUGGAUUUAUUGAAGACUAACUACUGCGAAAGCAUUUGCCAAGGAUGUUUUCAUUAAUCAAGAACGAAAGUUAGGGGAUCGAAGACGAUCAGAUACCGUCGUAGUCUUAACCAUAAACUAUGCCGACUAGGGAUCGGAUGAUGUUAAUUUUUUAAUGACUCAUUCGGCGCCUUACGGGAAAC
rnacentral:rRNA from 1 species